GUCAAAGAUUUUUUAAAAGCACAACAGAGGAUACAUAAUACAGCCAUGAUUUUAGUUAAAGGCACUUAGGUGAACAUUUGAAGGAAACUGAUCUGUGUGUUUUUCUCCAUGGGUCCUGUUCUCUCCAACAGCUUACCAAAGUUGGGGAAUUUCUGGAGUUCAGUGACACAACUGGAACACAAAUCAUGGUUUCUGGUGAUUUUUUUUUUUUGUCAACGCAAUCUGCCGCCGCUCCAG